rnacentral:rRNA from 1 species
AUUGAACGCUGGCGGUAGGCCUAACACAUGCAAGUCGAACGGCAGCACAGUAAGAGCUUGCUCUUACGGGUGGCGAGUGGCGGACGGGUGAGGAAUACAUCGGAAUCUACUUUUUCGUGGGGGAGAACGUAGGGAAACUUACGCUAAUACCGCAUACGACCUACGGGUGGAAGCAUGGGAUCUUCGGACCUUGCGCGAUUGGAUGAGCCGAUGGCGGAUUAGCUAGUUGGCGGGGUAAAGGCCCACCAAGGCGACGAUCCGUAGCUGGUCUGAGAGGAUGAUCAGCCACACUGGAACUGAGACACGGUCCAGACUCCUACGGGAGGCAGCAGUGGGGAAUAUUGGACAAUGGGCGCAAGCCUGAUCCAGCCAUACCGCGUGGGUGAAGAAGGCCUUCGGGUUGUAAAGCCCUUUUGUUGGGAAAGAAAAGCAGCAGGUUAAUACCCCGCUGUUCUGACGGUACCAAAAGAAUAAGCACCGGCUAACUUCGUG